rnacentral:lncRNA from 1 species
AGGAACAGCUCCCCGUUCUCAUCAGGGCCGUCCUGCACCUCCACCUGGGCAGGUGAGACAUGGACAGGUGAGACAUGGACAGACACACGGACAGGUGAGAUAUGGACAGACACAUGGACAGGUGAGACAUGGACAGGUGAGACAUGGACACACAGACAUGGACACACAGACACACAGGUGAGAUACACAGACACACGGACACACAGACACACACACACACACACACAGACAGGUGAGACACAGACACACGGACACACGGGCACAGGGACACACGGACAGGUGAGACACAGACACACGGACACACGGACACGCACACACACGGACAGACAGACAGGUGAGACACAGACACACAGGUGAGAUACACAGACACACGGACACACGGACACACGGACAGGUGAGAUACACAGACACACGGACACACAGACACAGACAGGUGAGACACAGACACACGGACACACGGACACACGGACACACGGACACACGGACACACGGACACACAGACACACGGACACACAGACAGACAGGGACACACAUGGACACACAGACACAGACAGGUGAGACACAGACACACGGA